rnacentral:rRNA from 1 species
GACGAACGCUGGCGGCGCGCCUAACACAUGCAAGUCGAACGGAGCUUUGAGAGCUUGCUUUUAAAGCUUAGUGGCGAACGGGUGAGUAACGCGUGAGUAACCUGCCCUGGAGUGGGGGACAACAGUUGGAAACGACUGCUAAUACCGCAUAAGCCCACGGCCCGGCAUCGGGCUGAGGGAAAAGGAUUUAUUCGCUUCAGGAUGGACUCGCGUCCAAUUAGCUAGUUGGUGGGUAACGGCUCACCAAGGCGACGAUCAGUAGCCGACCUGAGAGGGUGACCGGCCACAUUGGGACUGAGACACGGCCCAA